rnacentral:rRNA from 1 species
UACGUAGGGGGCAAGCGUUAUCCGGAUUUACUGGGUGUAAAGGGAGCGCAGGCGGCGCGGCAAGUCUGAUGUGAAAGCCCGGGGCUCAACCCCGGGACUGCAUUGGAAACUGUCGCGCUCGAGUGUCGGAGAGGUAAGUGGAAUUCCUAGUGUAGCGGUGAAAUGCGUAGAUAUCAGGAGGAACAUCGGUGGCGAAAGCGCUUUACUGGACCAUUAUUGACGCUGAGGAACGAAAGCCAGGGGAGCAAAUGGG